GCGGCUGAGUGGAAGAGCCUCUGCUUUGCGCGCAGAAGGCCUCGGGUUCAAUCCCCGGCAUCUCCC
rnacentral:tRNA from 1 species